CCUACGGGAGGCAGCAGUGGGGAAUUUUGGACAAUGGGCGAAAGCCUGAUCCAGCAAUGCCGCGUGUGGGAAGAAGGCCUUCGGGUUGUAAACCACUUUUGUACGGAACGAAACGGUUCGCUUUAAUACAGUGGGCUAAUGACGGUACCGUAAGAAUAAGCACCGGCUAACUACGUGCCAGCAGCCGCGGUAAUACGUAGGGUGCGAGCGUUAAUCGGAAUUACUGGGCGUAAAGCGUGCGCAGGCGGUCAUAUAAGACAGUUGUGAAAUCCCCGGGCUCAACCUGGGAAUUGCAUCUGUGACUGUAUAGCUAGAGUACGGUAGAGGGGGAUGGAAUUCCGCGUGUAGCAGUGAAAUGCGUAGAUAUGCGGAGGAACACCGAUGGCGAAGGCAAUCCCCUGGACCUGUACUGACGCUCAUGCACGAAAGCGUGGGGAGCAAACAGGAUUAGAUACCCUGGUAGUCCACGCCCUAAACGAUGUCAACUGGUUGUUGGGUGCAUUAGUACUCAGUAACGAAGCUAACGCGUGAAGUUGACCGCCUGGGGAGUACGGCCGCAAGGUUGAAACUUCAAAGGAAUUGACGGCGNGNGAGNGCGAGCGACGACGAGGAGAGG
rnacentral:rRNA from 1 species